GUCCUGCCGCUCUGGCACCCUGAGAGGUCGGCGCGCUUUCCUGGGGAGCACGGCUGUAGAAGCCCAGGAGCACGGUCGCCUUGGCCAGCCUGGGAACGAAUCCAAGCCUGGCUGGGACUGAGCCCCUCAUUCUGGUUCCAUCCUGGAGCCAACCGUGUCGGCAGCAAGCAUCGAGACUGGCAAUUCCUGCCAGCAGCCGCGCCAGUUUGAGGGACCAAUGGUGAAAGUUGACAUCAUACGGGAUCUCUCAUCCAAUCCCACAUAAACGGAACGGUUGGUCUCAAACUGGUAACACCUUUUCUCAUUUAUUUAUUCAUUUAGUUAUUCGUUUGUUUGUUUAUAUGUUAUCUUUCUUUGAAACGGAGUCUCACUGUGUCGCCCUGCCUGGCUUUGAACUCAGAGAUUCGCCUGCCUCUGUGACCCUAAAUGCUGGGAUUAAAAGCCUGCACCACCACAUACAUCCCUGGGAUUUUAGUAAAUAAAAAUUCAAAUGACUAUUGCAUUGAAGUGGGACAAAAUGAUUCAAAUGUUGGACGGAAAUGUCAAAGACAAUUCUAAAACAGAGUAGCAAGAAGGAACCAGCUUUGCCCACCAAUCAAACCAAGCAGGAUAAUUUGAAGUAUGUUUUAAAGUUACAUUUAUAUGGAUUUUUUUGGAGAGGACCCACGCGCCUGCAACGGUGCAUGUGUGGAAAUCAGAGGACAAUUUGGGGAGUCAGUUCUCUCUUGCUGUGUAAAAGAUCUAAUGUAAGCCAUCAGACUUGGCAGUGCCUUUACCUCACAAGCCUCAAAUCAUAAUUAAAAGGUGAAGUAUUAUUGAACUAUAACACAAUAGUCUGUGGUAAACAAUUUUAAAGAUUUAAUUUUAAUUAUGUUGUAUGUGUAUAUGUCCAAAUGUUGCUUCAGGUGCCCUCAGAGACUAGAAGAGGCCACCUUAGAGCUGGAGUUUAUAAGCAGCUGAAGUGAAUGCUGGGAGCAACUCCAGUCGUUUGGAAGAGAUGUAGUCUUUCCAAGCCCUUGGCAUGAAAUAAUUUUAAUAUAUGAUGUAGGGGCUAUCAUAGUUUGGCUGUAGGAAGGAAUUCCACAAGUGCUAUUGAGAUAACUGAUUAACACUUUGAAGAAAAAGCAGCUUAGUUUUUUCAUACUUUCAUAUAUGUUAGGGCCACAGUGGAUUAAAGAGGUAAGGAAAAAACAGAGUAAGGACCUGGGAGAUGGCUCCACAGGCAAACUCACUUGCCCUUUAAGCCUGGCAAACUGAAUUCAAUGCCCAGAACCCAAGAGAGGAGAGAGCUGGCUUCCAAAAUUUGUCUCUCAUUGCUGUGGCACGUGUGCACUCAUGUUCACACACAACAUUAAUAGCAAUAAAUGUGUAUGAUAAUGAUACAGCUCGAGAUGUAGCACAGGUGGCAGAGCGCUUACACAAAACCCUGGAUUCUGUCUCCAGCACUAUAGCUGGUAUGCCAGCACAUACCUGCGAUACUCAGGAGACAGAGGCAGGAGAAAGGCAAAAGCUAGAAGCCAUCCUUCAAUGGGAGUAACAAAAGAAAAAGACGCAGGGGCCAGUGAGCUGUCUCAGCAGGUGAAGAUGCUUGCUGCCAAUCCUGAUGACCUGAUCUGGAUUCCCAGAACCCACAUGAUCAGAGGGCAAACUUAUUGUCCUCUGACCUCCAUACACACACACUAAUAAAUCU
ensembl:bidirectional_promoter_lncRNA 5430400D12Rik RIKEN cDNA 5430400D12 gene